rnacentral:rRNA from 1 species
GACGAACGCUGGCGGCGUGCUUAACACAUGCAAGUCGAACGAAGAGCGAUGGAAGCUUGCUUCUAUCAAUCUUAGUGGCGAACGGGUGAGUAACGCGUAAUCAACCUGCCCUUCAGAGGGGGACAACAGUUGGAAACGACUGCUAAUACCGCAUACGAUCUAAUCUCGGCAUCGAGGAUAGAUUAAAGGUUGCCUCUACAUGUAAGCUAUCACUGAAGGAGGGGAUUGAGUCUGAUUAGCUAGUUGGAGGGGUAACGGCCCACCAAGGCGAUGAUCAGUAGCCGGUCUGAGAGGAUGAACGGCCAAAUUGGGAAUGGGAAACGGCCCAGAAUCCUAAGGGAGGCAGCAGUGGGGAAUCUUCCGCAAUGGACGACAGUCUGACGGAGCAACGACGCGUGAGUGAUGACGGCCUUCGGGUUGUAAAGCUCUGUUAAUCGGGAAGAAAGGCCUUCUUGCGAAUAGUGAGAAGGAUUGACGGUACCGGAAUAGAAAGCCACGGCUAACUACGUG